AACAGAAAUCGUUUUACGACAUGAAGGAAGUUAAAAACUUUGGAUGCUGCGUGGCACUUGGUACUACAAUACGGAAAUAAAAG